UUUGACUCGGUCUGCUUCUUUUCUGGUGGUUCUGUUGUUGGUACGCGUAGAAAUAUCCUGAUUAAGCGGCCCAGCCUAAGCGGUGCUACCGUUCAAAUAGAGGCAGCUAGAUCCAUCUUCUCUCCACGUUCCCAGUCAACAUCUCCACCCCCACGGACGCAACAAGGAAAAAAUCCCCAACCCACACCCUCAGCCCAACCAACUCAAAACUGAGUGGAGAAAUAGGGGAAGGAUUGGGCGGACCGCACGGCGCGGCGGACGUCCGCCGGACCGCGAGAUGGAGGAUGCGUUCGACGCCUACUUCCGCCAGUGAAUCUCGACCGCAACGGUCGAAUCAGCGGCCAGGUCUGGCUCUGCUUUUCGCCUAGAUCGGCGGCGUCCUGGACGGUGCCGGCAACAUCCCCCGCCAUGGCCAUGUGCCCGAGCACAGACUUGAGCCUCACGGGCAGCCCUAAGCCACCUCUAGCUCCAGAAUCCAUUUUCCUGGCCGUCGUACGGCGCCACCGCCGUUCGUCAUCUCCGGAACUCCAGCAGCUCCCUAGCUUUUCCAGCUGUACAUCCAGUAAUACUGAAGUACAUUAUGUAUUAUGCUGGUAAAUUUUGGAGCUGAGAUGUAUUUUUUGAUUUUUUUACAUCCAGAAUAAUGACAGUGGUUGAUGUAUUUUGUUUCCUUUUUCUACAUCCAGUAUCUCUCUUUUUUUCCUUUUUCUACAUCUAAGAUUUUGAAAAUAGUAUGUUUCCUAGAUAUGGAUGUAAUUAUAGUUGGUUCUCCCAAGAUUUAGAUGUAUUUUUUUAUUUUUUUACAUCCAUCCCUACUAUAGAUUUUUUACAGAAAAAUAAGAUGGUGGAUACGCACUUUACUUUUUCGUCUUUUUUGUCUGAAUUUUGUAAUUCACGGAUGCGGAUGUAUUUUUUCUCCACGGAAAAAAGAAGGAUGCGGGAGACUUGCAGUCGAACAUGGGAAAGAGAAGGCGCGGUGGAGCGGAGUAGUUCCUAUUUUUGGACAAUGCUGGCUGUCAGGCUGCAUUUUUUCUAUAUUUGCGUGGGGCACUCCCUGUUGUAUUUAGUUGCCUUUAUAAUGGUUGUUCAAUGUAUUCAUACAUUAUGAUAUAUCUCACCAUUUUGCUCAUAAUUUGUUGUUUUGUUGUUCUCUCUAGGUGAUUCUGCCACGGGUGACUCUGCUGAGCAAUCAUGGACUUUCUCGGUGGCUCUGCUUAUCCUCCUUUUGCAGAGUGCUCUUCUUCAGGUUCAACUUCACAGUCACUUGGCCCGUGACAUGUUGAAUGAGCGGUAUUUUGGGCUUCUUUACUUGUGAGUGCCAACAUCGGUAAGGAAACUAAAGCCAGCCAAAGGAUUAGCAAAUUUUGUUGCCUAACUGCCAAAUAGCUACCAGAGACAUAGAAGAGGUUCCAAUCACUUAGCCCUUGACAUAUAAAAUGAGCGAUAUUUUGAGGUUCUUUAUUUGUGAGUGUAGCAUCAGAGCUAAAGAAUCAGCUAAACAGCUACCUGCGACAUUGGAGAGGUUAGUAGUAGGUCUGCUUUAAAAAAUUCCAUACUGGUGAACUAGAGGUUAGCAAGAUCAUGUCAUUUCCAUGCCAGCAGUUAUCUGGUAUGUAUGUUUUAAGAGAAGUGAACCCGAGGUUCGUUGCAGUUUUAGUAUGCCAUGCUAUAACAGUAUGCUAUUCUAUUCUUCAGGCUAUAGGGCAAGUUCAAAGGUGCAACAAAUCCGAGCUUUACCCCGAAUUGGAAUCUUGCUAUCUUGCUAUCUCUUACCCGGUGGUCCUGAAGUAUUCCUGUGGCAUUGUACAUAGUACCAACAUUGAGCUAGGUUGAGUAUUUGGUUUUGGUUCUCAGUUUGUGUACGUGCAAACAGCUGUGGAAUAAUAUUCAGCUUCUGUACUCAUAAUGCACUCUGCCCGUUGCUGCUUAUAUGUUUCUUUCCAUUGAA